AUUGAACGCUGGCGGCAUGCUUUACACAUGCAAGUCGAACGGUAACAGGCCUUCGGGUGCUGACGAGUGGCGAACGGGUGAGUAAUGCAUCGGAACGUGCCCAGAGGUGGGGGAUAACGCAGCGAAAGCUGUGCUAAUACCGCAUGUGAUCUGAGGAUGAAAGCGGGGGACCAGGCAGCAAUGUUUGGCCUCGCGCCUUUGGAGCGGCCGAUGUCAGAUUAGGUAGUUGGUGGGGUAAAGGCCUACCAAGCCGACGAUCUGUAGCUGGUCUGAGAGGACGACCAGCCACACUGGGACUGAGACACGGCCCAGACUCCUACGGGAGGCAGCAGUGGGAAAUUUUGGACAAUGGGCGCAAGCCUGAUCCAGCAAUGCCGCGGGCGGGAAGAAGGCCUUCGGGUUGUAAACCGCUUUUGUACGGAACGAAAAGGCUCUGGCUAAUACCUGGGGCUGAUGACGGUACCGUAAGAAUAAGCACCGGCUAACUACGU
rnacentral:rRNA from 1 species